rnacentral:rRNA from 1 species
UGGGGAAUAUUGCACAAUGGACGGAAGUCUGAUCCAGCAACGCCGCGUGCGGGAUGACGGCCUUCGGGUUGUAAACCGCUUUUUCUCAUGACGAAGUUUUUUGACGGUAGUGGGGGAAGAAGCACCGGCUAACUACGUGCCAGCAGCCGCGGUGAUACGUAGGGUGCGAGCGUUGUCCGGAAUUAUUGGGCGUAAAGAGCUUGUAGGCGGUUUGUCGCGUCGAUAGUGCAAACUCAGUGCUUAACGCUGAGCCUGCUGUUGAUACGGGCAGACUAGAGGAAGGUAGGGGAGAAUGGAAUUCCCGGUGGAGCGGUGGAAUGCGCAGAUAUCGGGAGGAACACCGGUGGCGAAGGCGGUUCUCUGGGCCUUUCCUGACGCUGAGAAGCGAAAGCGUGGGGAGCGAACAGG